AUGGCCCCCCCCCCCACCGCUCCAGCCACACGUGUGACUCCGCUGCUGGCCACGUGCCGCAGUGAGCGGCCACUGAAAGAAACGCCUCGUGAGUGUGGGGCUCGGCUGCCACUCCUCCAGACUUCCAAAUCCACCACCGGAGCCCCAAUGGCUGCCGCCGGGGACCUCAAGUCGGAGUACCCCCAGGUCCUGCUCAACCGCCACCGCGAACACCGAGACAUGGAGUCGUACCCAAGGAAAAAGGUGGAGAACUUCGAGGAGAAGCCAGUUGAAGAAAAUUUCUACUUGUUUACUGAGUGCACAAUGCACACUACUUGCAUCUUCGCAGUUGAAAUUGAGAUCAGUGAAAACCAACUACAUUUGAGCAGCCCAAAAGAAAUUAGCUGCUCCGACUACAGACCGAGUGUUCAACAUGCAGCUGCUUACAUACACUGA
rnacentral:rRNA from 1 species